UACGUAGGGAGCAAGCGUUGUCCGGAAUCAUUGGGCGUAAAGCGCGCGUAGGCGGCCUCGUAAGUCCGUUGUGAAAGCCAAAGGCUCAACCUCGAGACGCCGAUGGAAACCGUUUGGCUAGAGUCCGGAAGAGGAGAGUGGAAUUCCUGGUGUAGCGGUGAAAUGCGCAGAUAUCAGGAAGAACACCCGUGGCUAAGGCGGCUCUCUAGUACGGUACUGGCGCUGAGACGCGAAAGCGUGGGGAGCGAACAGG
rnacentral:rRNA from 1 species